GACGAACGCUGGCGGCGUGCCUAAUACAUGCAAGUCGAACGCAGUGGGGACGGUUGAGUAACACGUGGGUAACCUCCCAUCAGAGGGGAUAACACUUGGAAACAGGUGCUAAACCGAUACUGAUGGAUGGACCCGCGGUGCAUUAGCUAGGUGGUGGGGUAACGGCGAACCAAGGCCACGAUGCAUAGCCGACCUGAGAGGGUGAUCGGCCACACUGGGACUGAGACACGGCCCAGACUCCUACGGGAGGCAGCAGUAGGGAAGCUUCGGCAAGGGGCGAAAGUCUGACCGAGCAAUGCCGCGUGGGUGAAGAAGGUUUUCGGAGCGUAAAACUCUGUUGUUGGAGAAGCGGUAUCUAACCAGAAAGCCACGGCUAACUACGUGCCAGCAGCCGCGGUAAUAC
rnacentral:rRNA from 1 species